GUAGCGCGGGCGACGUGGUGGGGGAGGGCGGGGGGAGGGUCCGGCGGCUGCGGCGGCCACCCGGCGCGGGCUGCGUCCCGAGGAAUUCCCGGACGCGCAUUGUCCAGAUGUGAACCAAGAUUUGGCCUUUUCACCAAGAGAAAAGGGAAGGCUCAUGGGCAUGGGCACACAGUGCUGAGAUCGUGGGCACACAUACUGGGGAAUUGAACCCAGGGGCCUCAUGCAUGCCCGGCAAGCGCUCUACCACUGAGCUACUUCUUCAACCCAGUAAACUAGUUUUAAACAGAUGGCA